rnacentral:rRNA from 1 species
UGAGGAAUAUUGGUCAAUGGGCGAGAGCCUGAACCAGCCAAGUCGCGUGAGGGAAGACUGCCCUAUGGGUUGUAAACCUCUUUUGGCGGGGGAUAAAGUGCGGGACGUGUCCCGUAUUGCAGGUACCCGUCGAAUAAGGAUCGGCUAACUCCGUGCCAGCAGCCGCGGUAAUACGGAGGAUCCGAGCGUUAUCCGGAUUUAUUGGGUUUAAAGGGUGCGCAGGCGGCCUGUUAAGUCAGCGGUGAAAUCCCGGGGCUCAACCCCGGGACUGCCGUUGAUACUGGUAGGCUUGAGUGCGGAUAAGGAUGGCGGAAUGUGUCAUGUAGCGGUGAAAUGCAUAGAUAUGACGCAGAACUCCGAUUGCGAAGGCAGCCUUCCAGCGCGCUACUGACGCUGAGGCACGAAAGCGUGGGGAUCGAACAGGAUUAGAUACCCUGGGUAGU